rnacentral:tRNA from 1 species
CAAAAAAUAGUUUAUUUAUAAAACAUUAAUUUUGGAGAUUAAAAUAAAAUUUAUAUAUUUUUUUUUUGA